UAGUAUUGUGUUAAAUCGAACGAAUAUGAAUAGGUAACAUUUGUCACAGUCUAAUGCAAUGGCGGUGGCACAAAAGGCAAUAAUACUAGGUUUUUAAAGCUAUAAAAGGUGGUUGCCUACCAAGACCGAAGACAUACCAGAAUAAUCUACGGGUUUAUCAAGGCUGUGUAAAAUACGAAUCUCGUCUAAGAAUGUCUGUUAGUGGAUUCUUUGUGAAAUGUGUUGGGGAGGCUUAUUGGUCUAAGGUAACACUACUAAUGACGGUGGCAUGUUUAUUAUUGUCUCCAGCAUCAACACAAAUUAGCAGUAUAGAUUACUGUGAAGUUGCCUGUCAGCCAACCGGUUCAUCAACAUUGUGUCAAAAUGCUCUCACCACUUACGGAAGCCACCCAAAUCUUCCCAUUAUCUACUUUCAUUGCUGCGUAAGUCAUUAUUAUGUUACUGAAGGGUUAAUCAACUACAAAGCCGACCUAACAACAGAGUUCCUCAACUACCUCGACAAUGAAACGGAUAAAGACAUUCUGGAAACAUACGCUCAAUGCUUUGGUUACUGCUCCGCUGACUAUUCUCCGAUGUCUAAAGAUGACUGUGACACUAACAUUGCUAACGGUUUUGCAGCUUGUUCAUCACAAACGUGUUAGAAACUCUUAAUUUUCUCUAUUUGACAAUAUGCCCAACAUCUUUAUUGGUCACAGUAACCUUUCCUGCUUUAAAGCCAUCACAGUUUAUGGCCCAAUCAGCACAAUCUUAUAUUUCUUCUAACACUAGUUAUUCAGUAAAUAUUUACAUAUUAUAAAGAACAGUAUAUAAUUAUGGGUUUUGAAAACAAGCCGGAGGUUAUAUAAAUUCAUCUUCCGAAAAAAAAUAUAAAUACAUUGAUUAGACUCCAGAAAAUUCAGAACAAAGCUGCACGUAUCGUUUCUCUAACUAAACAAUCUGAACACAUUACUCCAGUACUCCAAAAUCUUCAUUGGCUACCAGUUUAUCAACGAAUUAAUUUUAAGAUCGGUCUUUUAACUUUUAAUUGUCUAAAUAAUAACUGUUCCCCACAAUAUCUUAAUGAACUUUUAACCCCGUAUAAACCAAGCAGGAACCUACGCUCUGCUGAUAAAAACUUACUUCAUGUUCCUACAGUAAAAACUAAAACUGGUGAACGGGCUUUUGUUUACGCCUCUGCUAACGUGUGGAAUGAAUUACCUCGACAUGUAAAAGACUCUACUAACGUUGCUGUUUUUAAAAAAAAAUAUCUUAAAACCGAACUUUUUAAACGUGCUUUUAAACUAUGAACAUGUUGACAUUUUAAUGUUUUAGAACUAUUUGUUUUAUAUUAUAUGUAAUAUUUUAAUUGUGAAAAGCGCCGCGGAGCAGCUGUUAGCUGGAGCACUCAGCGCUAUACAAAAUGAUUAUUAUUAUUAUUAAUUAUAAUCAUACAUUAUAUACUGGUAUAAAAAUGAAAAUGAAAA